GACGAACGCUGGCGGCGUGCCUAAUACAUGCAAGUAGAACGCACAGUUUAUACCGUAGCUUGCUACACCAUAGACUGUGAGUUGCGAACGGGUGAGUAACGCGUAGGUAACCUGCCUGGUAGCGGGGGAUAACUAUUGGAAACGAUAGCUAAUAACGCAUAAUAUUAAUUAUUGCAUGAUAAUUAAUUGAAAGGUGCAAUUGCACCACUACCAGAUGGAUCUGCGUUGUAUUAGCUAGUAGGUGAGGUAACGGCUCACCUAGGCGACGAUACAUAGCCGACCUGAGAGGGUGAUCGGCCACACUGGGACUGAGACACGGCCCAGACUCCUACGGGAGGCAGCAGUAGGGAAUCUUCGGCAAUGGACGAAAGUCUGACCGAGCAACGCCGCGUGAGUGAAGAAGGUUUUCGGAUCGUAAAGCUCUGUUGUAAGAGAAGAACGGGUGUGAGAGUGGAAAGUUCACACUGUGACGGUAUCUUACCAGAAAGGGACGGCUAACUACGUG
rnacentral:rRNA from 1 species